rnacentral:tRNA from 1 species
GGGGUUGUAGCUCAGUGGUAGAGCACUUACUAGCAUGUAUGAGGCACUGGGUUCGAUCCUCAGCACCCCA